rnacentral:SRP_RNA from 1 species
GCUGGGUGUGGUGGUGCAUGCCUGUAAUCCUAACUACUUGGGAGGCUGAGGCAGGAGGAUCGCUUGAGCCCAGUAGGUGGAGGUUGCAGUGAGCUGAGAUCGUGCCACUGCACUCCAGCCUGGGUGACAGAGCGAGAACCUGUCUCCA